GUCGAGCGGUAGCACAGAGAGCUUGCUCUCGGGUGACGAGCGGCGGACGGGUGAGUAAUGUCUGGGAAACUGCCUGAUGGAGGGGGAUAACUACUGGAAACGGUAGCUAAUACCGCAUAACGUCGCAAGACCAAAGUGGGGGACCUUCGGGCCUCAUGCCAUCAGAUGUGCCCAGAUGGGAUUAGCUAGUAGGUGGGGUAAUGGCUCACCUAGGCGACGAUCCCUAGCUGGUCUGAGAGGAUGACCAGCCACACUGGAACUGAGACACGGUCCAGACUCCUACGGGAGGCAGCAGUGGGGAAUAUUGCACAAUGGGCGCAAGCCUGAUGCAGCCAUGCCGCGUGUGUGAAGAAGGCCUUCGGGUUGUAAAGCACUUUCAGCGGGGAGGAAGGCGUUAAGGUUAAUAACCUUGUCGAUUGACGUUACCCGCAGAAGAAGCACCGGCUAACUCCGUGCCAGCAGCCGCGGUAAUACGGAGGGUGCAAGCGUUAAUCGGAAUUACUGGGCGUAAAGCGCACGCAGGCGGUCUGUCAAGUCGGAUGUGAAAUCCCCGGGCUCAACCUGGGAACUGCAUUCGAAACUGGCAGGCUAGAGUCUUGUAGAGGGGGGUAGAAUUCCAGGUGUAGCGGUGAAAUGCGUAGAGAUCUGGAGGAAUACCGGUGGCGAAGGCGGCCCCCUGGACAAAGACUGACGCUCAGGUGCGAAAGCGUGGGGAGCAAACAGGAUUAGAUACCCUGGUAGUCCACGCCGUAAACGAUGUCGAUUUGGAGGUUGUGCCCUUGAGGCGUGGCUUCCGGAGCUAACGCGUUAAAUCGACCGCCUGGGGAGUACGGCCGCAAGGUUAAAACUCAAAUGAAUUGACGGGGGCCCGCACAAGCGGUGGAGCAUGUGGUUUAAUUCGAUGCAACGCGAAGAACCUUACCUGGUCUUGACAUCCACAGAACUUUCCAGAGAUGGAUUGGUGCCUUCGGGAACUGUGAGACAGGUGCUGCAUGGCUGUCGUCAGCUCGUGUUGUGAAAUGUUGGGUUAAGUCCCGCAACGAGCGCAACCCUUAUCCUUUGUUGCCAGCGGUUAGGCCGGGAACUCAAAGGAGACUGCCAGUGAUAAACUGGAGGAAGGUGGGGAUGACGUCAAGUCAUCAUGGCCCUUACGACCAGGGCUACACACGUGCUACAAUGGCAUAUACAAAGAGAAGCGACCUCGCGAGAGCAAGCGGACCUCAUAAAGUAUGUCGUAGUCCGGAUUGGAGUCUGCAACUCGACUCCAUGAAGUCGGAAUCGCUAGUAAUCGUAGAUCAGAAUGCUACGGUGAAUACGUUCCCGGGCCUUGUACACACCGCCCGUCA
rnacentral:rRNA from 1 species